UAGCUCAGUUGGUAGAGUGCUUGCCUUGCAUGCACAAAGCCCUGGGUUCAAUCCCCAG
rfam:Ictidomys tridecemlineatus contig035285, whole genome shotgun sequence.